rnacentral:rRNA from 1 species
UACGAAGGGGACUAGCGUUGUUCGGAAUCACUGGGCGUAAAGCGCACGUAGGCGGAUUUGUAAGUUAGGGGUGAAAUCCCGGGGCUCAACCUCGGAACUGCCUUUGAUACUGCGAAUCUCGAGUCCGAUAGAGGUGGGUGGAAUUCCUAGUGUAGAGGUGAAAUUCGUAGAUAUUAGGAAGAACACCGGUGGCGAAGGCGGCCCACUGGAUCGGUACUGACGCUGAGGUGCGAAAGCGUGGGGAGCAAACAGG